AGCAGUCGCCGCGGGAAUACGUAGGUCCCGAGCGUUGUCCGGAUUUAUUGGGCGUAAAGCGAGCGCAGGCGGUUAGAUAAGUCUGAAGUUAAAGGCUGUGGCUUAACCAUAGUACGCUUUGGAAACUGUUUAACUUGAGUGCAAGAGGGGAGAGUGGAAUUCCAUGUGUAGCGGUGAAAUGCGUAGAUAUAUGGAGGAACACCGGUGGCGAAAGCGGCUCUCUGGCUUGUAACUGACGCUGAGGCUCGAAAGCGUGGGGAGUAAACAGGAUUAGAUACCCGCGUAGUCCCUGUCUCUUAUACA
rnacentral:rRNA from 1 species